GCCCCGCUAGCUCAAUCGGAUAGAGCGUCAGACUUUUACGAUUGUCCACCGCAAGUGUUCAUCAUAAAAAUUCAUCUGAAGGCUGCGAGUUCGACCCUCGCGCGGGGCU
rfam:Stereum hirsutum FP-91666 SS1 unplaced genomic scaffold STEHIscaffold_11, whole genome shotgun sequence.